ACACAUGCAAGUCGAACGAUGGAACCUAGCUUGCUAGGGGAAAUAGUGGCGAACGGGUGAGUAACAUUUAGGAAACUGCCUUAUAGAGGGGGAUAGCUCGGGGAAACUCGAAUUAAUACCGCAUACGUCCUACGGGAGAAAGGAGCUUUUGGGUUCUGCUAUAAGAUGUGCCUAAAUUAGAUUAGCUAGAUGGUGAGGUAAAGGCUCACCAUGGCGACGAUCUAUAACUGGUCUUAGAGGAUGAUCAGUCACACCGGAACUGAGACACGGUCCGGACUCCUACGGGAGGCAGCAGUGGGGAAUAUUGGACAAUGGGGGCAACCCUGAUCCAGCCAUGCCGCGUGUGUGAAGAAGGUCAUAAGAUUGUAAAGCACUUUAAGCAGGGAGGAAGAGCCAGUGGAGAAACACACUGGUGGUGACGUUACCUGCAGAAUAAGCACCGGCUAACUCUGUGCCAGCAGCCGCGGUAAUACAGAGGGUGCGAGCGUUAAUCGGAAUUACUGGGCGUAAAGCGGGUGCAGGUGGUGCACUAAGUCAUAUGUGAAAGCCCUGGGCUUAACCUAGGAACAGCAUAUGAUACUGGUGAACUAGAGUAUAUGAGAGGAAAGUAGAAUUCCAGGUGUAGCGGUGAAAUGCGUAGAGAUCUGGAGGAAUACCGAUGGCGAAGGCAGCUUUCUGGCACAAUACUGACACUCAGACCCGAAAGCGUGGGUAGCAAACAGGAUUAGAUACCCUGGUAGUCCACGCCGUAAACGAUGUCUACUAGCCGUUGGGGCUCAUGAAGCUUUAGUGGCGCAGCUAACGCGAUAAGUAGACCGCCUGGGGAGUACGGCCGCA
rnacentral:rRNA from 1 species